GACGAACGCUGGCGGCGUGCCUAAUACAUGCAAGUAGAACGCAGUUGCGAACGGGUGAGUAACGCGUAGGUAACUGCCUCAUAGCGGGGGAUAACUAUCGGAAACGAUAGCUAAUACCGCAUACUGUGAGAUGGACCUGCGUUGGAUUAGCUAGUUGGGGCGGUAAAGGCUCACCAAGGCGACGAUACAUAGCCGACCUGAGAGGGUGGACGGCCACACUGGAACGGGAACACGCCCAAGAUCCCUACGGAGGCAGCAAGAGGGGAUCAUCGGAAAUGGAGGGAAGUCUUACCGAGCAACGGCGGCUGGUUGAAGAAGGUUCUCGGAUUGUAAAGGUCUGUUGUUAGAGAAGCGGUAACUAACCAAGAAGGGACGGCUAACUACGUGCCAGCCGCCGCGGUAAUUC
rnacentral:rRNA from 1 species